CAUGCACAGCCUUCCUAAACACUUCCUGAAAAGAGAGAUUUAAGGUUUAAACUUCCUUUAUUGCACAGACUGUUUAAUUUAGACAUUCUUAUAUCCUGCUUUGAUAAUAGCAUUGUACACCCUGCAGGAGCCUCCUGUGUGUGAUUUAAAUUUAAUUUACAGAGCCGAUGGUAAAAACUUGUAACAUAAGUUCACAUCUGAUUGAAAAUUUAAUUAUUAUUUUUUUCCAUGCAGACUGUGUGGUUAGGGCUACAUAAACAGAAACAAAUGUGAUUUAACUCCUAAAUGGCAGAGAACUGAGAAGUGAGACUGCAGGGGCAUGAUCUGUACACUAAAUUAAGCUAAAAUUAUUUUUAAGCCUGUAGUGUCAAAUUUCUAGACAAGAAACCAAAUAUUGUGUAAUUUACUUGUGUGUAUGUAUAAUAUGACUGGGAUUUUAAAUAAUUUUUUGUUCCAAAUCUGCUCUUUUUGAC